UCACACCUGCAGAAACAAAACAAACAUCGAUACUAAUACUCAAGUAGAAAUGCAGUCAGUCACUCAUGCACAAAUAAGGAAUUUGGUAUAUAGUAACAGCUAAUGACACAGCUGUGCUAAAGUAGCUCAGUCUUCAUCUGCAGUUUGACUUGGGCAGGGACUUGCCUAAAAUGAGAUGCCUCAUUUCAGGCACUACCUGUAUACAUAAGUCUAUCUCGCACACCCACAAAGCAAAGUGACUCAUGUAGGUCUGCAAACAUGAAAGAAUAAUUCCAUUAAAACUGCUAAUCCUUGAUUGCUUAAUGGCUGCCACCUCCAUAGCUACCCAUUCUGUUGAAUAGCUCAAAUUAAAAUAAUAUUUUCUAUUAAGCCCAGUAGGAAGCGAUUCCCUUUAGUAUUUUGUUAUGGCUUACAUACCAGGUCGAAGGGUCUGAGUGUACCCGAUUCCAAUCAGGCUGGCAUUAUUCACUUUAGCCUAGAGGUAGAGAGAGAAUAAAAGCACACAUCAAAACAGCAGCAUCGCUCCUACUUUUAUAGGCAUGCAGGCACAACAACUUUUCCACUGGAAUCAGCAGCAGUUGCAGAGAAAUCUACAAGCAUCAGAAAGUGGACAUAUUAACCAGCAAUGGAAAAAAGAUCUCAAAAAUAUAUGUCCCUGCAAAUGCAGAGUAGUUUGUUCUAUAAAGAGUUCUGUUUAAAAUUACAAUAAUAAUGUGCCAGUUUCUUUGAGAGAUUACUCUGUCUCAUAGACAUGAGAGUUUGAUAGGAUAGCAGCAAAAACAAAAAAAGAAACCCUCUUUUUCCCUCAAUUUUAGCCCAUUGCUCCCACCGAUGAACCCUCAAGCUCAUCCACACAGUUCCCCUCCAGUCUUGCCAACUGUAUUGUUCUAGGCACUUCAAUUUGCAACCAUCUUCUUGUUACUCAAGAGACUUGAACAUGAGUAACAACUACUAAAGUAGGCAGAAGCAACUGAAGUGUGUGGAAGGACGUAGUAACAUUUAUCUAAAAGUUUUUAAGGGACUGUGCUCAGCUUACGACUAGUUCAAGGGUAUAAACAGGAAUGAGGGGAAUAGAGAUGUUAUGCCUGCUUUAUUUACCUCCAUUUAGUAUUCUUGAGGUAAGAGUACAUAGAGUAAGCUAAUGAAAUUCCCAAGGGAUUGAGUUAUUUACCCAAUACCAUGUUGUCAUCAUAUUAGAGAUUAAACACAAGAUUUUAACCUCGCCUAUCUCCCACCUGCUGAAUGUAUAAUUACUUCCUGAUUUACUGGCCCUCUUUAUGAAAACAUGGGCAUAUGCAAUCUUAAAAAUCAUCAAAGGGGAUGACUUUCAGAGCUGCGAGCCCUCCACUGUGAAUUACAUGACCCUUGAAGUUCAACCCAGGAGUUAAAUAAAGGUGUUACAAACACCAGUAAUGAUAAUGAACUAACCCAGGGAGAUUAGACAUACGGGCAGUAACUAAUGCAGUUACUUUGCUUUCUGCAACAGAUAAUCUCAUAAAGAGGGAGAAACCCAGGAAGCAGUAAUUCCUUGAAAUUAUUAGGAGCUUCAGCGACCAGAAAACAGAUGUUUGCAAGUGAAUAUGGCAGUAUUUCUAUUAAAGUAACAUUUUUGACUGCAUGCAUAAACCCAUUCUGGAGAGAAGAGGGGGACAGAAUUACCCUGAAGAAAAGUCUCAAAAGAUAGCAAAUUGGGAAGUGACCCUCCUGUACCUGUCUCUUGGGGAGGAAAAUAAGGAAUCUCUAACACAAAAUUGAAGGAGGAUAUUUACCCUGUGUUUGGUACAAAUAUGGUGUCAAGAGUCAGCUUCAAUCCCUCAGCUAACUGCAAAGAAGGAAAAGAAGAAGUCAGAUUAUCUGGACUCCUUCUAUUGAAAAAGAUGAUUGGCAUUAUAUUCUCUUACCUUACUAUAAUUCUCAUCUCCUCUUCUUGUCUGAAUAGAAGAUGAUCUUUGGCACAAAAAAUCAUCAAUCUAAACGGCUGAACAGAUUUCUCAGAUCAAGGAAAACAAAGAUCUUGUCUGCCCUUUUCACUAAACACAGUGAAGGGAAAGAAUCCUGCUGUCAUAUAAUCAAAAGCAGAAGGAUUUUCCUAGCAGUUAGAACUGGAUCUCCUUCUGAGAGAGGACAGCGCAGAGUCAACAUUUGUUACCAUUCAUCUCCAGACUGUCAAAAGCAGAGCUCUGAUUGGAUCAUGUCUCAUGGGAGCAUUUCUGAAAUCCUCUGCAUCAGAAUGCCAGACUGCCUUAAUUUCAUAUACCAGUCUGAACCAGUCCUCAAGUUCACCU